UUUAGUCAGCAACGGGAUGAUCACGCUUCUCCACUCCAUGGUCGAUCUUCACCUCUAUAAAUACCUAUUAAUCAGUUCAAGUGAUAUCAUAUCAUAUACAACUCUCACAUCCUUAUUAAUAUAGAAAUGGCCCUUCUCAAUGCCUCCAAAUUGAUGUCAUUUGCUGCUCUUUUAGCCAUUCUACUUUUAUCACUCAUGUCUGCUCAGCUGAGUAGUGCUGCCCAACCCAAUAUCAAACAUGGGCGAAAACUUUUCCAAGAACCACUACCACCGGCUUAUGGUACUAAAUAUCCUGGUGGAGGUGGUUAUCCUCCUGGUCACGGCGGCGGUUCUGGAACAUAUCCAUAAGCAAGAUCAUGACCACCAUGAAAACAAAAUUAAUUAUUGCUAAAGCUAUUCCACUCGAUGACCAGGACUUCUCUGUUGCUGGCUAAAUUGGAGAUGUUAGCAUUAAUUAAUUACUUAUAGUAGUUAUAUCAAUUUAUAUAUGUUAUAUUUUAUUUACAGUAACAUGUCGUCUUGUAUUUCCAAAUCAAUUAUGUGUAAUAAAACCAGCCUCACCAGAGUUGUGGCGGUUCCUGUUUUUGCAGCAUGUCAAAAUGUCAUUAAUUCUCACUGUUUCUGUAAAAGUACUAAGCUAAAUAUAAAAGUAUUCAUCUCCUAUGUGUCUUGUAGAUA